UCUCCGUUGGUGAACCAGCGGAGGGAUCAUUACAGGACUCGCAAGACUCCUACACCCCUGUGAACUUCACUAUAAGCACGUUGCUUCGGCCGGUGUCUCGGAGGGGCUUCUCCCUCCCCCGGUCGCUCAACCCGCCGGCAGCCUACUUUACUCUGUAUCUUUGCUUUGGCAUCUCUAGUACAAACAAACAAGUUAAAACUUUCAACAACGGAUCUCUUGGUUCUG
rnacentral:misc_RNA from 1 species